AGAGCAUCAAGGAGCAGGUAUCAGGCACAAUCCGUUAGCCCAAAACACCUUGCUACGCCACACCCACACGGGCACCCAGCAGUGAUAAAUAUUAAGCAAUGAGUAAAAGCCAACUUAAGCUCGACUUAGUUAUGAUUACUAGGGCCGGUAAACCUCGUGCCAGCCACCGCGGUUAUACGAGGGGCCCAAAACAACGGACACCGGCGUAAAUUGUGACUAGAGCACCUACUAUAACAUUGGGAAAUAAACAAAAACUCAACCGUAAAACCUGAGCCAAAAGAAACAUAUUUUCUCAAUUACAAAGAAGCUUGAAUCCACGAAGACUAAGAAACAAACUAGGAUUAGAUACCCUACUAUGCUUAGUUGUAAAUAUGACACCAAAAAACACUAGUGUCCGCCAGAAAAUUACACGCGAAAAGCUUAAAACUCAAAGGACUUGGCGGUGCUCCGUAUUCGCCUUAGAGGAGCCUGUCCUAUAAUCGAUAACCCACGCUUUACCUUACCAUCUUUUGUAAAACAGCCUAUAUACCGCCGUCGCAAACUUACCCCAUGAGGGCAUAACAGUAAGUAAAAUAGUAAUGCACUAACACGUCAGGUCAAGGUGUAGCUAAUAAGAUGGAAGAGAUGGGCUACAUUUUCUAAAACAGAACAUACGGCAAAGAACAUUGAAAUAUGCUCUAAAAGGUGGAUUUAAUAGUAAGAUAGAAAAGAAUACCUAUCUAAAAC
rnacentral:rRNA from 1 species